UCACCCAAACCUCCUCUCCUAUUGGUCAGAUUUAGACUCCUCUACCCGCCUCCUGUGACGUCAUACGUUACAGCAGCGCGAAAGAAAGAAAGAAGAAAGAAAAGAUGAGCUGGUUUGUAUCUCCAGCAGGAAUGGAGGACAGGCGGACACCCUGGCAGAGACACCAACCCUAAGGGCAAGUUAGAGACGCCAUUUUACCUCACAGUCACGUUUCUGGACUGUGGGAGGAAGCUGGAGUACCCAGAGAGAACCCACACAUGAUCAGGGAGAACAUGCUAACUCCAUGCAGAGAGACCGGAUGCUGGGAAUCAAACCCAAGACCUUCCAGGGAUUAAAGGGAAGUUAUUCACCAAACAGGUUGCGUUUUGCCUGAUAGGAACAUUUUCAGUUUCUUGAUGAAACCCUACAAAAAAAAAAGGAAAAUGUUUUAUGUUAAAGUGAGCCCAAAUACUCUAGAACACGGGUAACCAAUUAAAGAUUGACUCACGGCCAUCUUGGAUUUAG